CUUCGCGGCCAUACCACCCUGAACAUGCAAUAUCUCGUCUGAUCUUGGAGGCUAAGCAGGGUCAGGCCUGGUUAGUACUUGGAUGGGAGAAGUGAAAGGCCUAUAUUGCUGAGAAAU
rnacentral:rRNA from 1 species